AACGAACGCUGGCGGCAUGCCUAACACAUGAAAGUCGAACGCCUGCAGCAAUGCAGGAGUGGCAGACGGGUGAGUAACACGUGGGAAUCUACCCAGUAGCUCGGAAUAACCGCGGGAAACUGCGGCUAAUACCGGAUAAGCCCCGAGGGGGAAAGGAGCAAUCCACUAUUGGAGGAGCCCGCGUCUGAUUAGCUAGUUGGUGGGGUAAUGGCCUACCAAGGCGAUGAUCAGUAGCUGGUUUGAGAGAACGACCAGCCACACUGGGACUGAGACACGGCCCAGACUCGUACGGGAGGCAGCAGUGGGGAAUAUUGGACAAUGGGGGAAACCCUGAUCCAGCAAUGCCGCGUGGGUGAUGAAGGCCUUCGGGUUGUAAAGCCCUUUUGUCGGGGACGAUGAUGACGGUACCCGACGAAUAAGCCCCGGCUAACUUCGUGCCAGCCGCCGCAGUAA
rnacentral:rRNA from 1 species